UCAGGUAGCGGGACCAGGU
rnacentral:misc_RNA from 1 species